UACGGAGGUCUCAAGCGUUGUUCGGAUUCAUUGGGCGUAAAGGGUGCGUAGGCGGCGGGGUAAGUCUGAUGUGAAAUCCCGGAGCUCAACUCCGGGCCUGCAGUCGAUACGGGCAGACUGGAGUUCGGCAGGGGAGACUGGAAUUCCUGGUGUAGCGGUGAAAUGCGCAGAUAUCAGGAGGAACACCGGUGGCGAAGGCGGGUCUCUGGGCCGAUACUGACGCUGAGGAGCGAAAGCGUGGGGAGCGAACAGG
rnacentral:rRNA from 1 species